CGGCGGACGGGUGAGUAACGCGUGGGUAACCUGCCUCAUACAGGGGGAUAACAGUUAGAAAUGGCUGCUAAUACCGCAUAAGACCACAGUACUGCAUGGUACAGUGGUAAAAACUCCGGUGGUAUGAGAUAGACCCGCGUCUGAUUAGGUAGUUGGUGAGGUAACGGCCCACCAAGCCGACGAUCAGUAGCCGACCUGAGAGGGUGACCGGCCACAUUGGGACUGAGACACGGCCCAG
rnacentral:rRNA from 1 species